rnacentral:lncRNA from 1 species
AUUUUUACGCUUGCUCUGGACAAUUUCGGUUAGCCUUUUGCUUCGUACACUGGUGGCUCCAAAACGAAGACGAAGGCAGGGCCUUCUCUGUUGUUACUGCAAUUAAUUCCCAUUCCCCAAUUCUUCGGCGAAUAAUUGAAUGACUUCAAUUAAAUCACGCGGGAUUGAUACGAUGAGGAGCGGCUAAUUUUCUCCUCUACCCAAAGGUUGACGCGAGGGCGCGGUCCAUAAUAUCUGUGAGAUCUAAUCGAAUCUUCAUUAUUUCUUCCAAUUUAUUGCUAUUCGUGCGUUUCCUGAAUUAAUUGUUCAUGGGUAUUUUAUUAAUUGAAUAUCAACGGCCGGGUAUUUGAUUUAAUUUAAUAGUCUACUGCCACGUUAAUUAAAUAGAAUCCGUAAUUGUUCAUUUAGUUAACACCUCGUGGCAACCAUCAUAAUUGGUUUUAUGAUGGGGAAACGCAAGAUCUAGCUUAAAUAAACCCUCUUAGCGUGUUUAUUGGUUAGGGUUGGGUUCUUCUAGCUUUAAUGCAAUUGGGUAAUUAAAUUCCUACGGUCGUACCUAGGGUUGUUAUCUGGUUAGGGAAGCAGUCAAUGGUCGUACCUUGACUGUCGAAAAGGUAAGGAAGAAUUGGUUGUCAGAGCUUAUUGAUAACUAUAACCAACCUAGUGAUGAAUGGGUGAAAUAUCUUUGCAUCGAUGAUCAUUUAAUUGGACCGUGCCUGAGCAGUUGAUCCUUUGGGUGGAAUCUUAUUAAUUGCUAUUUUUAGUGAAUUGUGCUUUGUGAGUUGGUUUUGAAUUUAGUUCGCUUUAUUUUUAUUUUAUUUGUUUGCCUCCUAUUGAAAAUCCCCCAAUUCCAUUCUACUAAUUUGGAAAGAAAUAAUUUCCUACCCGCUCCCUGUGGAAUCGACCCUACUUGCCAUUGUACACAAAAGUAAUAUUCUUAUAGACUAAUCUGGUAUAUCGGAUCAAGCAAACUCUUCGUGAACAGGGUGAAUCAAGUAACCCAUUGCACACCUAGGGUCCCUGCUCCAGUAUUUGGAUUUGUUCUAUAAUUAUUUGUGGUGGUAAUUAGGACUUUUUAGUAAUUAUUAUUGCACAUGUUCGGCACCUGUCAAUUUUUGGCGCCGUUGCCGGGGAGUUGGCGUUUGGAUUAUUUGUUUCUUUUCAAAUUCAGUUUUUAUUUUAUUUUUAUUUUAUUCUAUUCUUCUUGAUAUUUUUGCUAGUUUAUGCCCCGUUCUUCUCGCACAGGUGAAUUAGUAUACGAUCAUGAGGUUGAGAAGGCAGCGCGUAGGCGGAAGCAAGAGACCAAGAGGCGAAAAGAAGGGCACUUAUUUAUUGCAAACGAGUCGGUAGAAGACGAAGUAAGCAUGGCCAACACCCAAACAUUAAGGGAGCUGGCUGCCCCGGAGCUGACUCACCAGCCCUUAUGCAUCACAUUCCCCACUCUGGCUGAGAAUACUGCUUUCGAACUGAAGUCGGGGCUGAUUCACCUCUUACCUUCUUUCCAUGGUCUCUCUGGCGAAGAACCCCACAAACACGUUAAGGAGUUCGAGGUGGUUUGCUCUAGUAUGAAACCUCCCGGCGUCACUGAAGAGCAAAUUAGACUGAGAGCAUUUCCUUUCUCCCUUAAGGAUGCAGCAAAGGAUUGGUUGUACUACCUACCAGCAGGUAGUAUUACCACAUGGGCACAGUUGAAAAAGAAGUUUUUGGAAAAAUUCUUCCCUGCAUCUCGGGCUGCUAGCCUGAGAAAUGAGAUUUGCAGCAUUAAGCAAUACCCUGGAGAAUCCCUGUAUGACUAUUGGGAGAGGUUCAAUAAGUUGUGCACUAGAUGCCCGCAGCAUCAAAUUAGUGAGCAAUUAUUGAUCCAAUAUUUCUAUGAGGGACUCCAAUCAUCCGACAGAAGUAUCAUUGAUGCUGCAAGCGGGGGAGCGUUAGCGAACAAGACACCAAGGGAAGCAUGGGAGCUUAUUGAAGCUAUGGCGGAGAAUUCUCAACAGUUUGGCUUCCGUGAGAGUAACCCUACCCACAGGGUUAAUGAGGUGGAGUCAACAUCUAUUCAGCAACAGUUGUCGGAGCUCACAUCCGUCGUUCGACAAUUAGUUGUGGGGAAUGUGCCCCAAGUAAAGGCUUGUGGAAUUUGCACAAAUGUGGGCCACCCCACUGACUCAUGCCCUAUGUUGCAAGAGGAUGGGGCUGAACAAGUGAACAUGGCUGGAGGCGUGCCCGCGCCUCAAAGACCGUACGACCCAUACUCCAACACGUACAACCCUGGUUGGAGAGAUCACCCCAAUUUCAGCUAUGGUAAUAGGCCACAAAAUGCAUUCCCCAAUCGUCCACCAGGAUUUCAGCAACCUUGGCAACAGAAGUCCCAACCCUCGUUCUCCAAUUCAGGAAGUUCUUUGGAGGAAAUUGUCAAGAGUUUGGCCACGACUACCACUCAGCUCCAGCAGGAGACUAGAACCCUAGUCACGACCACUGCUCAACUCCAGCAAGAGACUAGGUCCUUGGUCGCGAGCACUACUCAGUUUCAAUAGGACACCAAAGCAGGCAUGAAAGAUAUGGAGACUCGCAUGAGUCAAAUGGCAACUGCCAUUAAUCGCCUGGAAUCCCACGUCUAUGGGAAAUUGCCAUCGCAACCUGAGGUAAACCCCAGAAAUGUAAGUGCCAUGACAUUAAGGAGUGGCAAGGAGGUGGAGGGAUCUAAGUUGACGAUUUCGAAAAGCAAAAGUGAGGAGCACAUAGAAAAGGGAAUUGAAGAGGAAGGGCGCAUUCGCGAAGAGCCUAAGGUAACAUCUAUUCCUUCGAUCCCUAUUAAAUCUAAUCUAGCUCCUUUUCCUUGCAGGUUGGAAAAGACAAAGAAGGCAGAAAAGGAAAAAGAAAUCCUGGAUGUCUUCCGCAAAAUUCAAGUAAACAUCCCCCUAUUGGACGCGAUCAAGCAGGUACCCAAGUACACAAAGUUCUUGAAAGACUUGUGCGUUAACAAAAGAAAGUUAAGGGGUGAUGAAAGAGUGAUGGUAGGAGAGAAUGUAUCAGCUGUACUUCAAAGGAAACUCCCACCCAAAUGCGGAGAUCCAGGUAUGUUUGCUAUCUCCUGUAAGAUUGGUCAUUCUAGUAUCAAAAAUUCCAUGAUAGAUUUAGGGGCUUCUAUUAAUGUGAUGCCUAAGUCAAUCUAUGAUUCCCUAAAUUUAGGACCUUUAAAAGAAACGGGGAUAAUAAUUCAAUUGGCUCAUCGUACAUGUGCUUAUCCGGAUGGGAUAGUUGAGGAUGUUUUAGUGCAAGUAGAUGGAUUAAUUUUUCCUGCUGAUUUUUAUGUGCUUUACAUGGAUGAUAGAAGUGCCCCAAAUCCAUCACCCAUUAUAUUAGGAAGACCAUUUUUGAGUACUGCCCAGACUAAAAUUGAUGUUAGUAAGGGUACUCUCACGAUGGAAUUUGAUGGAGAAAUAGUCCAUUUUAAUAUUUUUGAUAUAAUGAAACAUCCUGUUAACUCUCAUUCUGUGUUUGCUAUAUAUACCACUGAUCCCUCUGUGCAAGAAUUCUCUAAAUUUGCUUGUAGGGGUAAAUUCAAGGUUACUGCGAACAAGUCCUAUAGGAUGAAAGCAAUUCAUGAGUUAAAAAUGGAGAGAAAAUUUAGAAAAAAAGUUGCACUCAAUGGCCAUGUCGAUCCCGGAGGAGGGCCACCAAUUACAAGGAAAAUUCAAUUACAUCCAGACUAAAGAGUGGUGCUAUGUCUAGCCAAAGACAUUUAAAAAAGGCGCUGCUUGGGAGGCAACCCAAGGCUUCUUUUGUUUUAGUUUCCUUAUAUUUUUGAAAUUUUUGUUAAGUGUUAGUGUCAUUUAGUGGGUUAUUAUUUUGUGGCAGGAAGCUGGCAGUUAGACAUGCCCACUCUAGUUGGUCAUGCCUAAGGAAUGAAACUUUGGAAUUGACGAUCAGAAGACUAUAGCUUCCAAGGCGUGCCCACGCCUUCCAGCCUUUGCGCCAACGACAGUCAAAGAUUGACCAGGAUCAUCUCUAAUCCCACUUUCUACUUUUCUCUUUUCUUGUCUUGUAUGGUCUUAUCAAUUUCCAUUGUCUCAGCUUCUACUUUUCAAUUUUCUUUAUUUUGUCUUAGUCCAAGGUUUCCCCUUUGUCUACCGUCGCUAGAAACUCUCUCUCUCUCCUCCUCGCGCCAUUCAUCGCACGUCGCUGCCCGCCCCACCGUCACUAUCUCUCUUAUCAGACAGCUUUCUUUGCUCACAUUGGAUUCCAGCCACCUCACCCUCCUCCGCCUUAGUGUCUCACUGCACCCUCUCGGUGGUCAGAGAAGUUUCUCUCAUUUUCUCCUUAUACUUCAUUCAUCUUUUCUACAUUGAGGACAAUGUAGGUAUUAGGUGUGGGGGGAUGGCUUCCAUUAUUAUCUCCUUUUGCUUUGCUUUUAAAACAAAAAAAAAAGAGAAACACAAAAAAAAAAUGAAAAAAAGGAGGAAAAUGAAGAAAAAAGAAGUGUAGUUAGUUGAGUUCUUUGCUAUGAUGAAUAACUCAAUCAAGGUGCAUGGGCAUGUGGUUAGAUAUACUAGCUAUGCAUUUCAUUUUGCCUUGACAGUAUUGUUGGAUGUUGGAUAUACUGGACUUGACCCACUUUUGGGAGCUUUUGGGAGCUUUUGAGCCAUGCAUGAGCACAUUAUUCUUAUUUGCUCUAUUUUUGUUUGAUUGAGUGGGUAUCACACAUGGUAUCGGCAUUCUAGAACUUGCUAUUUUAUACAUGUCAAGACCAUAUUUUGUUGAACUGGAUGCAUUUGAAAUGAUAAGGGCAUUUAGGAUUUAACCUUCUUUAACUUUCUACAAACCAUGCCUUCAUCUUGUCUCCCUGCAGUGAAUCUAUUUGAGCUUUUAUCCUUCGCUAUUGUUUGAUUAGUCGUGUUUGAUAACCCAUGACCUUUUUAGACUUUCUUGUUUAACCUUGUGUCGUCAAGAGAUGUCUGAAUUUCAUUGUUUGUGCAAGGCAAAUGAAUCUAAGGUGGCAAGUGUUGUCGGAAUAGAAGUUGUAUGGUGCUCUGUGCAUCUGAGAUUAAAAAAGAAAAAACAAAAAAGGAAGAAGUCGGCAGUGAGCUGGUAGGCAGAAGACUCCAGCUUGCAAGGCGUGCCCACGCCUUGCAAGACAUCUGCUCCAUUAAAAAAAAAAUCGUGAGCAGAAGACCCUAGCCUACAAGGCGUGCCAUGCCUUGCGAGCCGCUUGUUCAAAAAAAAAAAAAAAAAAAAGGAGAAAAGGGGAAGAGUUUCGACACUUGCACAGUGGAAAUGGCAAAUGAAAAUGCCUUGCUCGUGAAAUUUCUCUGAUGAAGCGUUGUGGUUAUGUGGUGGAUAUCGGACAUUCUCUUGACACACUACACCCUAUUUUUACUUUCUUAUCCCGCCUUUUACCUAAACCCCAUUACAACCUUAUGAAAGUCCCUUUGAUUUGUGUAUUUAGUUCACUUUUGAGUGGUGGAGAUAUAAAUAUAUGUGCAAGCCUAUGGUAAUGCCAUUCUGUGAUGUUGAUUUGAGCGUUCCUAGUAUUCAUAUAUUUUCUUUGAAUUACAACCUGUCCGGUGUGCUCUCAUUUUGGCGACACUGUCAGGGAUCAAAGGUGCUUGUGUUAGUAUAGCUUAUUGCAUGACCUUUGCUCUUUCGGUUGCACUUCUGAGCUCCGAAAUGCUUGAGGGCAAGCAUUGUCUAGGUGUGGGGGGAUUUGAUAGAGCAGUUAUUUGGCACAUUUUGCAUUGUCAUCUUGUUCUAAUUUUGGCUAUUCAUGGUGCUAAGAAAGGGAAUUUCACUCAUAUUUGAUAUUUGUGUGAAUUGUAGGUGGUUAGCAUUAAAAAUGAUAUCUUGAGGUGAAUUUCCAGAAGACUUUUCAUUUCAGGGCGUGGCCACGCCUUAAAAGGUAGACAUUACCGAAAGUCGGACUCCGGUCCACGUGAACCGCGAGAAGCAUGGGAUAAAAACUCCAAAAGGCUAGCUUUGCUUUUGUUUUCAAUCAAUUGGGUCACGUUUGAGAAGCUCCUGACGGCGGCUAUAUAAAGAAUAAAAAGGGAGAUUCAGAGGCAUCAAUACCUUAGCUUUAGUUUUCUUUUCCCAGAUCUGUCAGACGCUUUUUCCCUUUUUCUUUUUUCUCUUCGGUAGCAAUUAGAAUAGGCUAGACGGCUAUUUUCCUUUUGAUUUUUACGCUUGCUCUGGACAAUUUCGGUUAGCCUUUUGCUUCGUACACUGGUGGCUCCAAAACGAAGACGAAGGUUACUGCAAUUAAUUCCCAUUCCCCAAUUCUUCGGCGAAUAAUUGAAUGACUUCAAUUAAAUCACGCGGGAUUGACACGAUGAGGAGCGGCUAAUUUUCUCCUCUACCCAAAGGUUGACGCGAGGGCGCGGUCCAU